GCCGGGUUAGCACAGUGGUAGUGCAGCGGUUUUGUAAACCGAAGGUCGCGGGUUCAAAUCCUGCACCCGGCACCA
rnacentral:tRNA from 2 species